rnacentral:rRNA from 1 species
CAGUCGCCGCGGGAAUACGAAGGGGGCUAGCGUUGUUCGGAUUUACUGGGCGUAAAGGGCGCGUAGGCGGACUGAUAAGUCAGGGGUGAAAUCCCAAGGCUCAACCUUGGAACUGCCUUUGAUACUGUUUGUCUUGAGUUCGAGAGAGGUAAGUGGAACUGCGAGUGUAGAGGUGAAAUUCGUAGAUAUUCGCAAGAACACCAGUGGCGAAGGCAGCUUACUGGCUCGAAACUGACGCUGAGGCGCGAAAGCGUGGGGAGCAAACAGGAUUAGAUACCCCAGUAGUCCCUGUCUCUUAUAC